GUUCCCUUUUCCUCAGUUCAAAUUUCCAUGAAGCUUUAUAAUUGACUCGUAUUAUAUUAGAUUAAAUGGAAUAAACUAGUCUGUUACUGGGCGCCGAUGAGCAAAGCAGAAUGGAACAAUACCAGGCUGUUUCAUCUAUAAACAAUUGCUAUAAGUUUUACUUUGACAAGGACGACAAUCCAGCUAACUACAGCCCUUCUGAACCACUUAUUUUUAACUCAGUAUUCCGCACAUUGCUGAAUCUGCAGUUAAGAGGUCCUGCUUUUCUGAGGUAAUGUUUAUAUUUCUUUAUUUUAUCGUCAUUUCAUUAAUUUUUUCUUUAAAAAAAACCCCACACAGUCUUAGUAUUCCCACCAGUUAUAUUCUUAUGUGCUACGUUUCAUGAUCAUCUAAUGUCCCUGUAUAGAAACACGUGUUUCAGUGUUAUAAAAGAAUGGUGUACUAUUUUGGUAAUUACUGUUUGUCCUGUGAGUAGUAAGAUGCAACAUCGAAUUCGCGUAUAAUUUGCGUACCAUAGAUUCCUAAUUAAACGCCAGGAAUUAAUUUCCGCGUAAAAUCGCCAGAGGCAACUCUCGCAGAUUUUAAAACCUCACUUUUAUUUUUCAGACAGUGUAAGCUAUAGGAAAUUAUAACAAAAUAUUGGUGAUAGCGAUUUUAUAUUCUCGCGAUUUGAUAGAAAACAGCGGAAUC